CUUUGUCUAACUGUGCCAGAAGGCGGGGUCCUAUUGGGAUAACGUCCAGUGCUUUAGGCAAAGGAGUUCAGGUCCCUGUCGCGCCGGAAGCCCGGCCGGCAAAAAACAUAAACAGGCAGCUCGUGGCUAGUAGGUUGCGACCGUCAUGGGCUGCC
rnacentral:ncRNA from 1 species